rnacentral:rRNA from 1 species
AGAAUCAACGCUGGCGGCGUGCCUAACACAUGCAAGUCGCACGAGAAAGGGGAGCAAUUCCUGAGUAAAGUGGCGCACGGGUGAGUAACACGUGAAUAAUCUACCUCCGAGUGGGGAAUAACUGAGAGAAAUCUUAGCUAAUACCGCAUAACACUUACGAGUCAAAGCAGCAAUGCGCUUGGAGAGGAGUUCGCGGCCGAUUAGUUAGUUGGCGGGGUAAUGGCCCACCAAGACGAUGAU